CAUUUAUCCUCUAUCUCUCUCCUACCUUAUCUGCAUGCGGCGGGAGCGGCGUGCAGCGGCCGACGGGCGCGGCGUGCGGCGGCCGAUGGGUGCUGCGUGCGGUGGGCGUGACGGCCGGCGGGCCCCUAGACCUCCCUUCUGCUGCGGGUGCGGACGGCUGGACCUCCUGCGGCCUAGAGUUCUUGGAACUGACGAGCGCAGGCCCGGUGCCUGGAUCGUGCCCACGGCCGUGGACAUGCAGGCGCUGUUCAACGCGGACGGCGUUGUGAAGCUGCGGCGGCGCGGCGCUCCGACGGCGUUGUGAAGCUGACGGAGGAGCACGCGCGACGGAGCGCGCUCGCUCGGCGGCUCGACGCCGGGCUGCAGGAGCCGCGGCCCGCGGGGGCGCGCUCGCUCGGCGGCACGAGCAUGGCGGCGGCCUGGCGCGGCGGCGACCUGGACAAGCUGUGGCGGCCUAGCCAGCGGCGGCGGGGCUGGCUCGGACGGCGGGCGCAGCUUUUGUUUUUGUUUUUUUAAAUCGAUUACUAGGGGCGGGUGACGGGAUGACCCGCUCCUAGAAAUCGAUUUUUAGGGGCGGGUGACAGGGUGACCCGUCCAUAGAAAUUUAUUUUUAGGGGGUUGAUGGAGUGAUCCGCCUCUGUAAAUGGAUUUGUAGAGGUGGAUGAAGGGGUGACCCGCCCCUAGAAAUGGGUUUUCAGGGACGGACGCGUUACCCGCUCCUGCAAAUACCAUUUUUGGCUGCGAAAAGCAGCAACGGGUCUGAGAUCCGCCCCAUCCGCCCCUAGAAAUAGCAUUUUGACCGCCCCCACAAAUCCUUUACGUAGUAGUGCCAGGUUGCAUGAGAACACUUACGACGACACGUGGGGACCAAUAGGGGAUGUAGAGCGUUGCACAUAUAAAACUACUAUCUGUUUUUAACAA